GCAAGAUUGGAUCAAAGGAAAGAAUAAUUGGACCAAGUUUAUCUGUCACAUUCAUCAACAAGAAUCACAGAAUCGCAUGCGCUAACUACUAACGGAGUGUCUGGUAGUUGGAAAGGUAAAUGACAGCCAUAUUCUCUUGAAUAGUCAAAAACCUGUAAUUCCAACUACCUAGCUCAUGUAUGGCUCCUCGAGCCGCACUCCGGGCAACAGUUUUGGCUAACUGGCCAAAUACAUGAGUGAAAAUGUUUUAACAUUUUUGUAUUUUUAAGGAAUCCUUACAAAGGGUAAAUUGUAUUCUAGCUGUCUUGUAAACAUCCAGAUUGAAUGGUCAAGAGAACUUCUUUCAAGGUAAGAUGGAGAUAAUGCAUAGUUAAUAAGGCACUGACUGUUUUAAUGAAGUAGGCCCUAGCAGUUAUUAAGUGAGUUUCAAUUCAGUCAAAAACUAUCAUUAACUUACAUCCCUUCUACAUCGGAGCUUGUCUUGUAAUCUAUUAAAAAGAACAUAUGUUUUACAAUGGAAUGUAGAUUAACAAGAACUCACACCUUUUGAGCAGUAGGAUCAGCAUGAAUUUUAUUUCUAAUAAAUAAGCUAAUAUUUAGGGUUUCAAAAAUUUUACAAAUAGCCAUGAUAUUAUGAAUGGAAGGUCAGUACAGAGUAAAAUUAAAUGCAAAAGACAGAAGACAAGGAUCUGUUAGGCACUUUCCCACUGUGUCUUAUGCAGAUAAGUCAAAUGGCAGUUACAUUAAAAAAACAAAGUCAAAUAACACAUGUGAAAGGCCAACAAUAUAAGUUAGUUGAUACUGUUAAGGAAUGUCGAAUGUCAUCAAGCUAAAUCUCUUUUUUUCUUAAAACCUGCCUCUAAAGUAACUCCCCAACUGUAAAAAAGCAUGUAUGGCCUCCUAGAGUUGCAAAACAACUCUGGAUCAUCUUAUAAAAUUGAAAUGAAUGUCUGGGCAUUAGCUGUGGUUGGAAUGAUGUUACCCACUCAACAGUUUCCCCCUCUCCACAGAACUGGGAUGUAUCCAAAGGAGUGGCAAGUGCCGAUACCUUUUGGUAUCAGUGGAGUCGCAGGCUCUGCUAGGGUGUAGUUCUAAGUACUGCAAACUACCUAACUCAUGUUUUGCUCCUCGAGCUUCACCCUGGGCCACAGUUUUGGUUAAUUGGAUAAAUGCAUGAGUGAUGUUUUUUCUUUACAAUUUUUUAAGCAACCCUUACUAAUGAUAAUUUGUAUUCUAGCUCUCUUAAGACAAAUGCUUGAAUUCUUCUCUCCAGGUAACCUCGGGAUUAUUCAUUGUUAAUACUAAGUGGAAAAACAUGCACUAUUAUUACUGGUUAUAUAAAUUAUUUUUUCAUUCCAAAACUAAUCACUAUCAUGUUUAGUGUGCAUUUUUAAGACAGCAAGGUUUAUACAGAGACUCUAUUAAGUUGAUGUUUUGAUGAAGUAGGCAUUAAGUACUAAGCAAGAUGAUAGUCUUGAUAAUGAUAUAUUGAAAGUGAGAUUACAAGAACAACAUAUCAUUUUUCACCUAGUAUCAAGCAUAGCAACACACUAUUUACUACAUCAGCCCUAGACACCUAAUACAAGAGGAAAUUUGGACUGAAUUCUAUCAGGGGAGAAAAACUAGUAACUAAAUCUUCAAGCAGAAAGGAAUACUAAUAUUGUUAAUUCAUAAAUAUUUUAAUCUGUCUAUACAUUUCUAUAAAUUUUUAAAAUUACUUUUACAUUUUCCUAUUCAUUUUAUAUGUAUUGUGUUGUUUACAAAAGGAAUUUAACAGAAGAAUCAAUAAAAGAAAUAUAUAUUUUAAUUUGAAUAUCUAUUAUUCAUUAAGUGUUUUGU
rnacentral:sRNA from 1 species